GGGGAAUUCAACAUGGUGCUGUCCGUACCUUCUGGCACUCCGAAGGUGUCCACGAUGGCCUCGACCAGACCCAGCACAUAGAGGGCGCUGCCGCACAC